GUCUCUUUGGAGAAAUCUGAUAAAAUGGAACUAUACAGGGAAGAUUAGCAUAGUCCCUGCACAAGAAUUAUAGGAACAAGUCAAGAAAUGGUCCAUAAUCUU
rnacentral:snRNA from 1 species